AGCGCAGGCGGUUAUUUAAGUCAGGUGUGAAAGCCCCGAGCUCAACUUGGGACGUGCAUUUGAAACUGGGUAACUAGAGUGUGUCAGAGGGGGGUAGAAUUCCACGUGUAGCAGUGAAAUGCGUAGAGAUGUGGAGGAAUACCGAUGGCGAAGGCAGCCCCCUGGGAUAACACUGACGCUCAUGCUCGAAAGCGUGGUAGCAAACA
rnacentral:rRNA from 1 species